AGGCGAUACAACGGUGGAGAAUUUUCCACAAUGGUCGAAAGCCUAACGGAGCAAUGUCGCGUGGAGAUAGAAGGCCCACAGGUCGUGAACUCCCCUAGAGAAAAAGCAAUGAUGGUAUUUGGGGAAUAAGCAUCGACUAACUCUAUGUCAUUAACAACGGUAUAUAUAUAUAUAU
rnacentral:rRNA from 1 species